rnacentral:rRNA from 1 species
GAUGAACGCUGGCGGCGUGCCUAGUACAUGCAAGUCGAGCGAACAGACGAGGAGCUUGCUCCUCUGACGUUAGCGGCGGACGGGUGAGUAACACGUGGAUAACCUACCUAUAAGACUGGGAUAACUUCGGGAAACCGGAGCUAAUACCGGAUAAUAUAUUGAACCGCAUGGUUCAAUAGCGAAAGACGGUUUUGCUGUCACUUAUAGAUGGAUCCGCGCCGCAUUAGCUAGUUGGUAAGGUAACGGCUUACCAAGGCAACGAUGCGUAGCCGACCUGAGAGGGUGAUCGGCCACACCGGAACUGAGACACGGUCCAGACUCCUACGGGAGGCAGCAGUAGGGAAUCUUCCGCAAUGGGCGAAAGCUUGACGGAGCAACGCCGCGUGAGUGAUGAAGGUCUUCGGAUCGUAAAACUCUGUUAUUAGGGAAGGACAAAUGUGUAAGUAACUAUGCACGUCUUGACGGUACCUAAUCAGAAAGCCACGGCUAACUACGUG